UUCAUCUCUCAUCUAACUCUCUCUCUCUCUCUCUCUCUCUCUUCAGCUCUCACCGAAACACAGAGGAAAAAAAUCACACAGUGAACUAUUUUCUCUGAAAUCCCACCACCAUCAAAACCUUUUUCACUGAAAACCCACCAUCAUCCAACCAAUUUAUCUGAAGUUCUUAAAAAAACUCUCCUCCAUUAAACCUCGAAGAGAUGUCUGAUUUACUGUUGUUCAACCAAUUUCGUGUUUGAUAGAAACCCAGUUUCUUUUGUUUUGCAAUUAUUCCAGUUUCGAUCUUAAUUUUGUAUACAGUUUGGGUGCUACUGGGAAAUUCUUUGUUCCAGAUCUAUUUGUCUUCGUUUCUCAAGGAAGGAAGAAGACCGUUUGUGGGCAACUUUUUGUUGCAAAUCGUAACCAAGUUUGAUUUUGAUUUUUGAAGUUUGAUUUUGAUUUUUGAAGUUGAUUUAAUAUUUUCGUUUCCCUGAUGCUCUCGUAUGAAUUUAGGGUUUUAUUUGAUGGGUUACAGAUGUGUAUUUGAACCGUUUUUCUGUUUCUAGAUGAGAAUGAAAAUUUUAUUGCAUAUUAUUUUUGGUUUAACUUUAUUUUUCUGGUGAAGAAUUUAUUUUGAUAACUCAUUUUGUUGUCUGUUGUGUGUAGAUGCAUGAAUAGAGCUUGGCCUAGUAUUGGAGAAGAAGCUCUGAAAGGUAGCAUUGAGAAUUAGAUUAAUUCAUGGGCAAGAUGGUGACGGGACAAAGAUCGUUGAUGGGAAAUUGUAUCAAGAAAAUAUGGUGAUAACUUCAAAGUUCUCCUUAUAUUUUCGUGAUAAUGUUGGUAUAUUUGACGUGGCUGAUGAGAAAGUUCGGAAGCUGGAGAAGAAGUACAAGGAGGUCGGGUUCUUUCGUGCUUGCAUUCUAGGAUUCAGGCACUUGGAAGGACUCACAUUGGAUAUCUUGGAGGCUAGUGCUUUUGAGGGAUCAAUUUCACUCACUUAGAUACCAAACCAGGUAUGGUUGUCAAGGGGAAGGUAACCUCUGUCGGGGACUUUGGUGCUUAUGUGCAGCUAUCAACUGGUGUGAAGGAAUUUUUUCCUCUUACACAUAUGGCAGAACUUGAAGUCCCAAAUCCUGGGAAGGAAUUCAAGGUCAAGCCACAACUUGCUAUUCUUAGUUCAUUUGACUAUGCUACUGAUGGACAUCAACACAUGGAUGGAUCAAAAAAGUUGAAACACAUGGGUGAUCUUUGAGCUUCUACAAUGGAGUGCAUGGAUUUGCUCGCCAGUUAGUUGUUAUAUAUAACCGAUCCUUGUUGUGAUGCAGAGGUCUGAACUUGGAUUAGACCCAGGCUGCGAAGAAAGUUUAAUGUAUCAUGCUGGACAAGUCGUGAAAUGUAGGGUGAUCAGUGCAGUUCUUGCUUCCCGGAGGAUCAACAUUUGUUUUCUUAUGUCUCCAACAAGGGUGGUAGCAGAUCUUCGGCUAGGGAAACCAUUGCAAGAGCUGCAGCUAGAUCUCUUGCCAAGAAAAUCUUAAAGCUGUAUUGCGGAACUGAGGAAACAGACUCACCAGGCAAAGCUCCAUUUGCUGUCAGAAACUAGAUGAAUGUUCAUGCUUAUGGUUUUUCACUGCCAAUGGUUUGUUUGUUCGUCUCCAUGUUGAUUUUGAUACCUUUAUGGAUGCCGUCACUUUCUUCCAGAUGGUCUCAUGAGGGUCACUGAUGUCAUGGUUGAUGGUAAGACUGUUGUUCCCGCUGGACAAGGAGAUGUCGGAAAAGUUUGUGCUACUGCAAUUCUGUUCUCAAGCAUGUUGGUGCCAAGGUCAUAAUGACAUUGUUAAAAGUUGUAGGACUUGUAUCACUUCUCUUUAAGAAACCUUGAACUUGUUAAUUAGCAGCUGAAUCCUUAUUUCUUUUUAUGAGUUUGGACUAAAUUUAUAAAUUUAUGAGUAAAAUUCAAUGUAGUAGAGUUGUCAUUUUGUAUUUAGAUAUGAAUCUGGUUUUAUUUGGAA